rfam:Camelus ferus unplaced genomic scaffold scaffold2397, whole genome shotgun sequence.
GAGGAUAUAGCUCAAGUGGUAGUGCGCAUGCUUAGCAUGCAUGAGGUCCUGGGUUCAAUCCCCAGUACCUCCA